rnacentral:rRNA from 1 species
AACGUAGGGGGCCAGCGUUGCUCGGAAUUACUGGGCGUAAAGGGUCCGUAGGCGGUGUAGCAAGUCGGAAGUGAAAUCUCUGGGCUUAACCCAGAGGCUGCUUCCGAAACUGCUGUGCUAGAGUGUGAGAGAGGCGAGUGGAAUUGCGGGUGUAGCGGUGAAAUGCGUAGAUAUCCGCAGGAACAUCCGAGGCGAAAGCGGCUCGCUGGAUCACAACUGACGCUGAGGGACGAAAGCUAGGGGAGCAAACAGG